AGCCGCGGUAAUACGAAGGGUGCAAGCGUUACUCGGAAUUACUGGGCGUAAAGCGUGCGUAGGUGGUCGUUUAAGUCCGUUGUGAAAGCCCUGGGCUCAACCUGGGAACUGCAGUGGAUACUGGGCGACUAGAGUGUGGUAGAGGGUAGCGGAAUUCCUGGUGUAGCAGUGAAAUGCGCAGGGAUCAGGAGGAACAUCCAUGGCGAAGGCAGCUACCUGGACCAACACUGACACUGAGGCACGAAAGCGUGGGGAGCAAACAGGAUUAGAUACCCUGGUAGUCCACGCCCUAAACGAUACGAACUGGAUGUUGGGUGCAAUUUGGCACGCAGUAUCGAAGCUAACGCGUUAAGUUCGCCGCCUGGGGAGUACGGUCGCAAGACUGAAACUCAAAGGAAUUGACGGGGGCCCGCACAAGCGGUGGAGUAUGUGGUUUAAUUCGAUGCAACGCGAAGAACCUUACCUGGCCUUGACAUGUCGAGAACUUUCCAGAGAUGGAUUGGUGCCUUCGGGAACUCGAACACAGGUGCUGCAUGGCUGUCGUCAGCUCGUGUCGUGAGACGUUGGGUUAAGUCCCGCAACGAGC
rnacentral:rRNA from 1 species